AGUGAACGCUGGCGGUAGGCCUAACACAUGCAAGUCGAACGGCAGCACAGGAGAGCUUGCUCUCUGGGUGGCGAGUGGCGGACGGGUGAGGAAUACAUCGGAAUCUACUCUGUCGUGGGGGAUAACGUAGGGAAACUUACGCUAAUACCGCAUACGACCUACGGGUGAAAGCAGGGGACCUUCGGGCCUUGCGCGAUUGAAUGAGCCGAUGUCGGAUUAGCUAGUUGGCGGGGUAAAGGCCCACCAAGGCGACGAUCCGUAGCUGGUCUGAGAGGAUGAUCAGCCACACUGGAACUGAGACACGGUCCAGACUCCUACGGGAGGCAGCAGUGGGGAAUAUUGGACAAUGGGCGCAAGCCUGAUCCAGCCAUGCCGCGUGGGUGAAGAAGGCCUUCGGGUUGUAAAGCCCUUUUGUCCGGAAAGAAAUCCUGUCGGUUAAUACCCGGCGGGGAUGACGGUACCGGAAGAAUAAGCACCGGCUAACUUCGUGCCAGCCGCCGCCGUAA
rnacentral:rRNA from 1 species